ensembl:lncRNA
AUCUUUGGUUAGAGACCCCUCUUUUGUGGAGUUUUCAUUGUGAGCCUUGAUCUUCGGAGAUGGCCACAAGAUAAGAAGUCAAGGACGAAGAGACAGAUAGUCUGAAGCCUGGCUCCAUCAGCGCAUCUGUACGAAGUGUUCUCGCGCCUGCCCGGGAAUGACAGUCCAAUUUCACGAAUCCAAAGUCUGACACCUCCCACCGGUGUCACACUGCUUGUUGUUUCUCUCCUUUUGAUUUCUCUUUGAAAAUCUCAGUUCAUUUCAUGGUCAGAUAACCCCCUCCUCGAUCCCCACUGUUCAUCAGAGCCCUUCACAACCUGGCGCUGGAUGAAAGGACUGUAUAGCUAAUUUAUGGGAAAUCAGUAAUUGAAUCUUGGCUGCUCUCGUAAAUCAUAUCACCCGGCUAUCAAACAGCUGUGAGCAGAGUAACGUAUUCCAAAACCUACAUAAUUGAUGACUUCUUUGCAAUAGUCCAGCACACACGACUGGUGAUUUUACUUAGGCUUAUUUCUUCCUCCCAACAAUGUUUUGAAGUUUCCUUCAAUGAGGAAAGCUCAGCUCUCUGAUAUCUGAGUGGCCAAAGCCAUUAAAGAGAAGAUGCUGAUAAAAGGAGAAUAUAAUCCAAAUUGAUGGGCAAACUGAAGAAUCCAUCUUGCUUUUUCUUAAAGGGAUUGGGAGUGAUAAAAGCACCUGAGGAGGGAAGCUGUAUCUCUGUGGCUAGGCUGUGUUUAUGGACUGGAGAAGUGCUGAUGGAAAUGGGGCUGCUGUGAACAGAGCAAGUUACAUAUGGGCUCCUGCCAGUAGCACGCACACCUCAUGUGCACCUCAGGGCUCUUGAUGAGGCAUUAUCUGAGCAAAGCCUGAAAGUGCAUGCUCACCAGCUGUGGGCUGAGGCCAAGUGCUAACGGGGUGCUUGAAUAUAUUCUAUCUAGGGCCAGAUGUGUGUUUAAACACCAGCAUCUGCAGAGGCAGCCUGUGCGUGUUUGCUGCAUCCCUCUCCAUCCCAGACACUGCGGGAGCUCUGGUGAGGCCAGGACCUGAAUGUCCUGUGCUGAGCAGAUGUACACAUCUGGCAGUAUUCCCUUGGAUGCGAUCCUUUAGGAAGUAACUGCUGAAUCUAUCUGCAGUGGGUUUGGGGUUCACCCUGCAGCUUUGAUGGCCCCACACUGCCAGGCAAAUGGCUGCUAUGGCACGAGCUUUGCUGCUGCUUCUUUGCAAGGGAGAAAAGAGCUCUGAUACAGUGCUCUAUGGCUGAGCGUGUAAUGGUGUCUGCACCUAAAAUCCUGCAGGCUGCCUUGAGCACUGGAGUUGCUGCGGAAAGCAAUGCUCUGUUGUGGCAGAAAAGAGGUUCUAUAAGCCAGGACCAAAGCACAGCCUCAGUGACGUGUGACUUUUCCUAUCCCUUUAACAAAGGUGCUUGCUGAGACAC